rnacentral:rRNA from 1 species
UACGUAGGGACCUAGCGUUGUCCGGAUUUAUUGGGCGUAAAGAGCUCGUAGGCGGCACUGUAAGUCAGAAGUGAAAAUGCAAGGCUCAACCUUGCAUUGCUUUUGAUACUGCAGAGCUUGAGUAUGGCAGGGGAGAAGGGAAUUCCACGUGUAGCGGUGAAAUGCGCAGAGAUCGGAAAGAACACCAACGGCGAAAGCACUCUGCUGGGCCGACACUGACACUGAGAGACGAAAGCUAGGGGAGCGAAUGGG